UGGGGAAUAUUGCACAAUGGAGGGAACUCUGAUGCAGCGACGCCGCGUGAACGAAGAAGGCUUUCGAGUCGUAAAGUUCUUUUAUAUGGGAAGAUAAUGACGGUACCAUAAGAAAAAGCCCCGUCUAACUACGUGCCAGCAGCCGCGGUAAUACGUAGGGGGCUAGCGUUGUCCGGAAUCACUGGGCGUAAAGGGUUCGCAGGCGGAAAUGCAAGUCAGGUGUAAAAGGCAGUAGCUUAACUACUGUAAGCAUUUGAAACUGCAUAUCUUGAGAAGAGUAGAGGUAAGUGGAAUUUUUAGUGUAGCGGUGAAAUGCGUAGAUAUUAAAAAGAAUACCGGUGGCGAAGGCGAAUUACUGGGCUCAUUCUGACGCUGAGGAACGAAAGCGUGGGUAGCAAACAGG
rnacentral:rRNA from 1 species